rnacentral:lncRNA from 1 species
UGAAAUACAGUGAACGAGUCGUUGAUAAGAACACAAUGGUGAUCAAGUCAUUCACAGUAUGCAAAUUGGUGCUAUCAAAUGAUUAACAAAAAUCGUUUGGAGUCAAGUUAACACAACCUUGUUAUAAUAUGCUUUCAAAAUAAACCCUACCUCAAUUAGGUCUUUUAAGGGUUGUAACGUGGUCUGGUUCGCGGUUUCUUGAAACAAAAGGAUAUAAGGCUCAAAAUUUAUUUUUACCCACCCCUUCUUCUUGAUGAUCUCCAGUUCCUACGUUCAGUUAAU